GACGAACCGUGCGAACGUUGUUCGGAAUCACUGGGCUUAAAGGGCGCGUAGGCGGUUGGUCAAGUCAGGGGUGAAAUCUUUCGGCUCAACCGGAAAACUGCCUUUGAUACUGACUGGCUGGAGGGAGAUAGGGGUUGCGGGAACUACCAGUGGAGCGGUGAAAUGCGUUGAUAUUGGUAGGAACGCCGGUGGCGAAAGCGCGCAACUGGAUCUCUUCUGACGCUGAGGCGCGAAAGCUAGGGGAGCAAAC
rnacentral:rRNA from 2 species